rnacentral:rRNA from 1 species
UUAAGCAUGCAAGUCAGACGGAAUGUAGUAAUACAUUCAGUGGCGAACGGGUGAGUAACGCGUGGAUAAUCUACCUACGAGAUGGGGAUAACUAUUAGAAAUAGUAGCUAAUACCGAAUAAAGUCAAUUAAGAUGUUAGUUGAUGAAAGGUAGCCUUUAAAGCUUCGCUUGUAGAUGAGUCUGCGUCUUAUUAGCUAGUUGGUGGGAUAAGAGCCUACCAAGGCUAUGAUAAGUAACCGGCCUGAGAGGGUGAUCGGUCACACUGGAACUGAGAUACGGUCCAGACUCCUACGGGAGGCAGCAGCUAAGAAUCUUCCGCAAUGGGCGAAAGCCUGACGGAGCGACACUGCGUGAACGAAGAAGGUCGAAAGAUUGUAAAGUUCUUUUAUAAGUGAGGAAUAAGCUUUGUAGGAAAUGACAAAG